rnacentral:rRNA from 1 species
AUUGAACGCUGGAGGCAGGCCUAACACAUGCAAGUCGAACGAGUGGCGGACGGGUGAGUAAUGUCUGGGAAACUGCCUGAUGGAGGGGGAUAACUACUGGAAACGGUAGAUAAUACCGCAUACCAUCGGAUGUGCCCAGCUGGGAUUCGCUAGUAGGUGGGGUAAAGGCUCACCUAGGCGACGAUCCCUAGCUGGGCUGAGAUGGUGACCAGCAACACUGGAACUGAGACAAGGUCCAGACUCCUACGGGAGGCAGCAGUGGGGAAUAUUGCACAAUGGGCGCAAUCCUGAUGCAGCCAUGCCGCGUGUAUGAUGAAGGCCUUCGGGUUGUAAAGUACUUUCAGCGGCGAGGCGUUACCCGCAGAAGAAGCACCGGCUAACUCCGUGCCAGCAGCGGCGGUAAGAC